GGUUUUUCGUCGGGAGUUCCAUCGCCGCAAACUUCCUCGGGUCAUGGCUGUACUUUUUCAAAACCCCAUGGCCCGAGGAUGUUGCCUGUGAUCCAGCUCAAAAUCAAAACGAUGUGAAUA
rnacentral:ncRNA from 2 species